CAUUAUUCUAUAAUCUUACUGCAACAUAUGUGUAUAUAUAUAUUAAUGUAACCGGCAAUGAUAAUAUUUAUACAUUAUUGAAAAUAGCUUGUCUGGUUAGUACGGCUCUGAUUGUUUUUAUUAAUAUAGAUAUGAUUUUUUUUUUUUUUAUAAUUAUUUUUUUGUAUUCAUAUGUGUAUGCCUAUAGCUUUAGGAACAUUUUUUUUUUACACUAUAUAAAUAAAUAUUACUGGUAUUUUAAAUAGUACAGACAAUGAUACAAACAAUUUAAUACAAAUGAAUAAUUUGCGUGAAUGAAUAGUCAUUGUCAUUAAUGAAAGGAAACAAUGGCGUCAAUAAAAUCAUUUCUCAUUUUAUAAAAUUCAAUAUAAUUUACGUAACCCAAGUUCCAGUAUAUACAGUUUUGGUUUUAAUAUAAAAAUGUUCAGACAAAUAAUCUUAGUUAGAAUUUUAAAUUGACGUACUAGGUAGGUAAAUAUAUCCAAUUUUCAAAAGGGUGACAAUUAUUUAUUUUAGCAAUUUAAAUAAAAUGAAAAAAAUAUGUGUAGAAUUUUAUUUCUUUUCUUGGAACAAAAUAGCUAGGCCAAGUUUAUAACAUAUACCAUUGAUUGCACGACAAAUAGUGUUGACAUGAGUCAAUUUAUGAAAUUUUAACAUUAUCUUUAUAAAUUAUUAUGCAUUAAUAUAAUAAUUGGUAUACUUAAUAUAGUUAUUGACCAACUUAACCAGGUAUUACAUGAAUUAAAUAGUCAGUCACUACUCUAAAUAUUGAUGGUAACAUAAUAUGUUACUAUAGUUGAAAUCUUUUAAUUUAAAUUCAAUAAUAUUUAUGUUCCAGUUCAAAUAUUUUAUUUCAAAUUUAUUUUAGUAAUUACAUGUAUAUUAUUUGUUUAGAAUUAAAUAAAUACACUUUAAUAAUUUAUUGAGUACAGAGUUUAUUUAUUUUAAAUAUUAAAUAAUAUUGAUUAUAAUAAACUGAAAAGUUUAAAAUCUUAGUAAAUUAUUUCAAACAUUUUUUUUUUUUUCUUAAAUCAACAUAUUUAAAAGAAAUUUAAUCUAUGAUAAGACUCAUAGGUUUAUUAUUCGAUUAUUAUGUAAAAUUCAACUGUAAGAACAUACUUAAAAUAUGAAAUGGAAACGUAUAUAUAAUUUAGGAAAUAUUCACUACGAAAAAAGUUGUAUGUAAUAAUGGAAUUUAAAUAACACAUUGU